GUGCUCGCUUCGGCAACCCAUGUACGAAAAUUGGGAACAAUACAGAAAAUAUUAGCAUGGCCCCUGCACAAAGAUGAUGUGCAAAUUCAUAAAGCAUUCCACGUUAUU
ensembl:snRNA U6 U6 spliceosomal RNA